GGGAGAAGCAGUAUCGUGCAGGGCGGGCACGCUGGUCUUGCUUACAGUUGGGCUUCGAUUUUAUAGGUUCAGAAAGUGUGUCUCAGAGGAGUUAGAGAAGACCGAUUAAUAGAUGACAGUGCUAAAGCCUGGAUCUCCUGAAUCCUGGAUGAAAGUGUCCUAAGUUAGAUUCCUGGGAAGAAAAUUCUGAGACACAUUCUGCAGGAUGAUUAUUAGGGCUCAUCCUUGGUUUCAACACCCAUAGAAAGAAGGGGGAAGAAGAAAUCGAACAGAGAGACAGAAGUCGAGAUGCAUUUCAGGCCAGGACUCUUGGCUGAACGCACAGGAGCUCUGGAGCUAGAAUGGCCCUUCAGAGUUGUCCUGAGUUGGUCUGAGAUGGCCAGUUCUUUAUAUUCCUGCAUGGGAUAGUCACUGGAUGUCCACCCCAGGAAGGGGUGUGGCCGAGACAGUCCCUGAAAUGCCCGCCAGCACUCCCUACACCUGGAGCGACAAGACCAACAUCACAGGGGGAAUGCACUGGGUGAUGGAUCACAGCGUUCAUCCCAGAAGAUGAGGAUUCAGAAUUGGCUGACAGCUACGUUCUAAAUGUCAGUGUUCUCCAAAAUUCAUAUGUUGAAACUUAAUUCCCAAUGUGAUGGCAUUAGGAAGUGGGGCCUUUGGGGGAGGGACUAUAGGUCAUGAGGGUGUAACCCUCAUCAAUGGGAUUAGUGUCCAGAGAGCUGCCUUGCCCUUCCACCAUGUGAGGACAUAGUGAGAAGGUGCCAUCUAUGAACUAGGAAGUGGGCGCUUACCACCAGACACCCACUCUUCUGGCAACUUGAUCUUGAAUUUCCCAGCCUCCAGAACUCUGAGAAAUCAAUUUCUGUUAAUUAUAAGCUACCCAGUCAAUAGCAUUUUGUUAAAGCCGCUGGAACUAAACUAAGAC
rnacentral:lncRNA from 1 species